rnacentral:rRNA from 1 species
UACCAGCACCCCGAGUGGUCGGGACGAUUAUUGGGCCUAAAGCAUCCGUAGCCGGUUCUGCAAGUCCCCCGUUAAAUCCAGCUGCUCAACAGAUGGGCCGCGGAGGAUACUACAGAGCUAGGAGGCAGGAGAGGCAAGCGGUACUCAGUGGGUAGGGGUAAAAUCCGUUGAUCCAUUGAAGACCACCAGUGGCGAAGGCGGCUUGCCAGAAUGCGCUCGACGGUGAGGGAUGAAAGCUGGGGGAGCAACCGGG